CAGUAGCCGCGGUAAUACGUAGGUGGCAAGCGUUGUCCGGAAUUAUUGGGCGUAAAGGGCUCGCAGGCGGUUUCUUAAGUCUGAUGUGAUAGCCCACGGCUCAACCGUGGAGGGUCAUUGGAAACUGGGAGACUUGAGUGCAGAAGAGGAGAGCGGAAUUCCAUGUGUAGCGGUGAAAUGCGUAGAUAUAUGGAGGAACACCAGUGGCGAAGGCGGCUCUCUGGUCUGUAACUGACGCUGAGGCUCGAAAGCGUGGGGAGCAAACAGGAUUAGAGACCCCUGUAGUCCCUGUCUCUUAUAC
rnacentral:rRNA from 1 species